AAGUCGCGUGCUGAGGGGUGUGACGGUUUUCUUGCUCGUGGGCUCGGACGAGUACGGAGCGCCUGCAGGGACAGCCUGGAUAAAGGCUCACUGAUGGCUCAGUUGGGAGCAGUUGUGGCUGUGGCUUCCAGUUUCUUUUGUGCAUCUCUCUUCUCAGCUGUGCACAAGAUAGAAGAGGGACAUAUUGGGGUAUAUUACAGAGGCGGUGCCCUGCUGACUUCGACCAGCGGCCCUGGUUUCCAUCUCAUGCUCCCUUUCAUCACAUCAUAUAAGUCUGUGCAGGUAUGCUUGGCCUCUGUGGUAUGGUUGGAUGACUGCAAACUUGGGCUGUUAACCAGUGCAUGAUUUGAAAUUAUUUAGCCAUUGGAUGAGUAAAAUGCCAUUCUAGAGAAUGAUAUAAGGAUAAUAUAUAUAUUUUAUAUAUAUAUAUAUAUAUAUAAAACGAGGCUGGGGAUUAUUCUUUCAAGAUAGAGCCAGAGAAGAACCUGUUCUGAGUAUAUGGAAAGAAAAGUCAGAGUUUAU
rnacentral:sRNA from 1 species